AGAUUUACGUAUCAGGAGUUCGACAAUUUCUAAUCAAAGACGACCUCUGAGCACCUUACCUGCUGCGAGAAAUAACUUGAAACGCUAGACCCACAUCCAUGGCCAUCGGGGAAGUUUUUGUGAUCUGAGAAUAGUAACCAAAAUGAUGUGAAUCAUUCAAUCGUAUCAGCAACUUUUAGGUAGCUAUUCCUUUUUUUUUACCUUGCAAUCAGUGAAAUAUUCUCCGGUAAUGUCAGCUACUUCGUCAGCUACAGCCAGGUGAAUAGUGGUCUGCGCACCUUGUUUGGCAUUCUGAAAUCAGGAAGUUUCAAAUGAACUUGCGCUUAAUUGGCAUGCCGUUUUUUUUUUUUUGUGUCGCAUGUGACUAACCUUGAAGAAAGGGGCGAUACAGGCGGUAAUAAUUUUGACUUCUAUUUAUAAAACAAAAUUGAGAAGUCAAUGAGCGUAAUUAAAUCGUACGACUUCU